rnacentral:rRNA from 1 species
AUUGAACGCUGGCGGCAGGCCUAACACAUGCAAGUCGAGCGGAAACGAGUUAUCUGAACCUUCGGGGAACGAUAACGGCGUCGAGCGGCGGACGGGUGAGUAAUGCCUAGGAAAUUGCCCUGAUGUGGGGGAUAACCAUUGGAAACGAUGGCUAAUACCGCAUGAUGCCUACGGGCCAAAGAGGGGGACCUUCGGGCCUCUCGCGUCAGGAUAUGCCUAGGUGGGAUUAGCUAGUUGGUGAGGUAAGGGCUCACCAAGGCGACGAUCCCUAGCUGGUCUGAGAGGAUGAUCAGCCACACUGGAACUGAGACACGGUCCAGACUCCUACGGGAGGCAGCAGUGGGGAAUAUUGCACAAUGGGCGCAAGCCUGAUGCAGCCAUGCCGCGUGUGUGAAGAAGGCCUUCGGGUUGUAAAGCACUUUCAGUCGUGAGGAAGGUAGUGUAGUUAAUAGCUGCAUUAUUUGACGUUAGCGACAGAAGAAGCACCGGCUAACUCCGUGCCAGCAGCCGCGGUAAUACGGAGGGUGCGAGCGUUAAUCGGAAUUACUGGGCGUAAAGCGCAUGCAGGUGGUUGUUAAAGUCAGAUGUGAAAGCCCGGGGCUCAACCUCGGAAUAGCAUUUGAAACUGGCAGACUAGAGUACUGUAGAGGGGGGUAGAAUUUCAGGUGUAGCGGUGAAAUGCGUAGAGAUCUGAAGGAAUACCGGUGGCGAAGGCGGCCCCCUGGACAGAUACUGACACUCAGAUGCGAAAGCGUGGGGAGCAAACAGGAUUAGAUACCCUGGUAGUCCACGCCGUAAACGAUGUCUACUUGGAGGUUGUGGCCUUGAGCCGUGGCUUUCGGAGCUAACGCGUUAAGUAGACCGCCUGGGGAGUACGGUCGCAAGAUUAAAACUCAAAUGAAUUGACGGGGGCCCGCACAAGCGGUGGAGCAUGUGGUUUAAUUCGAUGCAACGCGAAGAACCUUACCUACUCUUGACAUCCAGAGAACUUUCCAGAGAUGGAUUGGUGCCUUCGGGAACUCUGAGACAGGUGCUGCAUGGCUGUCGUCAGCUCGUGUUGUGAAAUGUUGGGUUAAGUCCCGCAACGAGCGCAACCCUUAUCCUUGUUUGCCAGCGAGUAAUGUCGGGAACUCCAGGGAGACUGCCGGUGAUAAACCGGAGGAAGGUGGGGACGACGUCAAGUCAUCAUGGCCCUUACGAGUAGGGCUACACACGUGCUACAAUGGCGCAUACAGAGGGCGGCCAACUUGCGAAGGUGAGCGAAUCCCAAAAAGUGCGUCGUAGUCCGGAUUGGAGUCUGCAACUCGACUCCAUGAAGUCGGAAUCGCUAGUAAUCGUGGAUCAGAAAUGCCACGGUGAAUACGUUCCCGGGCCU